rnacentral:rRNA from 1 species
AUGAAAGACCUUGGUGUGGCUGAUGUUAUCUUGAACAUCAAGCUACUGAGAGAUAAUGAGGGUGGGAUUACACUUCUGCAAUCCCACUAUGUUGAGAAGGUGUUGAGCCGUUUUGGAUAUUCGGACUGCACACCAUCUCAAACACCAUAUGAUCCUAGCGUGUUGAUUCGAAAGUCCAAAGGCACGGCUAUAGAUCAAUUGAGAUACUCUCAAAUCAUUGGUUCACUGAUGUACCUAGCAAGCGCAACGAGGCCUGACAUCGCGUUUGCUGUGAGCAAACUAAGCCGGUUUGUUUCCAAACCGGGUGAUGUACAUUGCCAUGCCGUUGAAAGAGUUAUGCGCUAUCUGAAAGGUACUAUGAACUUUGGACUUCACUAUACCGGAUACCCGUCGGUACUUGAAGGGUAUAGUGAUGCAAAUUGGAUCUCUGAUGCUGAUGAGAUGAAGGCCACAACUGGGUAUAUGUUUACUCUUGGAGGUGGCGCUGUUUCCCGGAAGUCUUGCAAGCAAACAAUCUUAACGAGAUCGACAAUGGAAGCAGAAUUAACAGCAUUA